UCACGUAACUGGGCCUGCACGUGCCCGUGUGAAUAGGGAGCAGAUCGUCCACCUGAUGUUGUUUGCUUAGUUGCAGAAAUUGCGACGAAUGAAUAACAGCAGUGCCGCAAAAUAAGACCAGGAAUUUCUUUCCUUGGACCGACGACAGGGCUGUUACUAGAAGUCUGCUGAACGAUUACAUCUCAGCUCUGGCAGAAGCCAGAGAAGGAAAUGAGUCUGUUAAACCGAGCAGCCGCACUGUGACCGACCACAACAUCCUCCCGCUCCUGUGCUCAUUAACAGCCCUCCUUCCUCCCUGCUCUCCUCCAACCUACGUCCAUCACAGUGGGGGUACCGCCUCGCCCCCUCGUGCGCCAACAAAGACCCCACAUCAAAUGGAGUUACGUGGCCUCCAGGAAGUGACAUCACCACAUCACUGGCCUCCACAAGAGGCUUGGUUCACCGGGGACCGACUUCAAACUCUGCUGGGCCCCGUGUUGGAGGGUUGGUUGCUGCAAAGUGAAAAAACGACAACUGAGACUGUAUGA
rnacentral:lncRNA from 1 species